ACCUAUAACCAAAUCACCCGGAAUGCACCCGAUCUCGUCAGAUCUGGGAAGCUAAGCAGGUUUUUGACUCUGCACAGUGCUUGGAGAUAGGUGACCACCAUGCAUUAAUAAUAGGUGUGAUAGGCU
rnacentral:rRNA from 1 species